rnacentral:rRNA from 2 species
GCACCUGAUUGAUUUGGUCGCCAACGAGUGGCGGACGGGUGAGUAACACGUAGGUAACCUGCCCAGAAGCGGGGGACAACAUUUGGAAACAGAUGCUAAUACCGCAUAACAACGUUGUUCGCAUGAACAACGCUUAAAAGAUGGCUUCUCGCUAUCACUUCUGGAUGGACUGCGGUGCAUUAGCUUGUUGGUGGGGUAAUGGCCUACCAAGGGCGAUGAUGCAUAGCCGAGUUGAGAGACUGAUCGGCCACAAUGGGACUGAGACACGGCCCAUACUCCUACGGGAGGCAGCAGUAGGGAAUCUUCCACAAUGGGCGCAAGCCUGAUGGAGCAACACCGCGUGAGUGAAGAAGGGUUUCGGCUCGUAAAGCUCUGUUGUUAAAGAAGAACACGUAUGAGAGUAACUGUUCAUACGUUGACGGUAUUUAACCAGAAAGUCACGGCUAACUACGUGCCAGCAGCCGCGGUAAUACGUAGGUGGCAAGCGUUAUCCGGAUUUAUUGGGCGUAAAGAGAGUGCAGGCGGUUUUCUAAGUCUGAUGUGAAAGCCUUCGGCUUAACCGGAGAAGUGCAUCGGAAACUGGAUAACUUGAGUGCAGAAGAGGGUAGUGGAACUCCAUGUGUAGCGGUGGAAUGCGUAGAUAUAUGGAAGAACACCAGUGGCGAAGGCGGCUACCUGGUCUGCAACUGACGCUGAGACUCGAAAGCAUGGGUAGCGAACAGGAUUAGAUACCCUGGUAGUCCAUGCCGUAAACGAUGAGUGCUAGGUGUUGGAGGGUUUCCGCCCUUCAGUGCCGGAGCUAACGCAUUAAGCACUCCGCCUGGGGAGUACGACCGCAAGGUUGAAACUCAAAGGAAUUGACGGGGGCCCGCACAAGCGGUGGAGCAUGUGGUUUAAUUCGAAGCUACGCGAAGAACCUUACCAGGUCUUGACAUCUUGCGCCAACCCUAGAGAUAGGGCGUUUCCUUCGGGAACGCAAUGACAGGUGGUGCAUGGUCGUCGUCAGCUC